UUGAAAAAGGAGGAGCAGUAGUGACAUCCGUAGGACCCAACGGGGCAUAAAAAGGGUAAAAUGACCGGAUUAUGCCAGAUGCAUCAGCCAUGUCGAUCUUAAUGUAAAACUAGUAACUUAUCCACUUGUCAUCCCACUUGUUUUUCUACGCUGAGGAAAGUUCCACCCUCGUAAUCUUUUGCUUCUCAUUCUUCCUCCAAGUCGUGAAUGUACAACACCCGAACUGCAUCUCGAAGGUGCCUUCUUCAUAAUCAAAUUGAACCCUCUUCCAUUGGAUAUGAAGUUCAAACAACCUUGCAAAACCAUCCACAUCAAUCAA
rnacentral:lncRNA from 1 species